rnacentral:rRNA from 1 species
UACGUAGGGGGCAAGCGUUGUCCGGAUUUAUUGGGCGUAAAGAGCGUGUAGGCGGCCAGGUAGGUCUGCUGUGAAAACUCGAGGCUUAACCUCGAGCUGUCGGCGGAAACCAUCCGGCUAGAGUCCGGAAGAGGAGAAUGGAGUUCCCGGUGUAGCGGUGAAAUGCGCAGAUAUCGGGAAGAACACCCGUGGCGAAGGCGGUUCUCUGGGACGGUACUGACGCUGAGACGCGAAAGCGUGGGGAGCGAACAGG